rnacentral:lncRNA from 1 species
UUCUGCGCUCUGGUUGGUUUGGUUUAUAUGUUUCCGUUUCGUAUUAGUGAUGCAGUCUCAUUAAAGUUGGUGAUUUUUGUUAUUAUAUUGUUAGUUACUGUACUCAUGUGAUAGUUUUUAAUUUAUAGUGAAGUGAAAACACCAUUCUGUGCAAUAAACAUCAGUUUUCUGUUAUUUUGGUAAAUGUGAACUGGUAGGCAACAGUCUUGCUUUAUUGUAAAAUUCAAGUCAUAGAUCUUUCUUGGGAACUGAUGUUUUUCUCCUUCCUGAUAUAAACCAUAUUAAAUGACCAAUAACAUGGUUUUAGGGGGUAUAUUCAUAAAUAGUUUUUUUUAAUGUCCUGUUUAUGUGCUGUUUCUGGAUAUCGCUCUGGGGCAGGUCAGUGUUUCACAAGAUAUCGUAUACUGUAGUUUGGAUCCUAUACUGUAGUUUGGAUCGAGUGAGUUUGUGAUAAUCAUGGAUCAACCAUCCACUAGUGAAUCGUAGUGAAUUGUAUGUGUCAGACUGUUUUGUUGGGCAUGUUAAGAGUAGGCUAUACAUUUUGACCGAAACAAGAUUAUUUCCUUUUUAAUACAAUACGGAAUUUGUAAUAAUAAGUGUAUUUGUUCGUCGUGCGGUGGUGUAUUGUUUUCAAACCAGGAGACUUUGAGGUUUCGUUGCAACAGAAAAUUUAGUAAAUGUAGUAAAAAAAAUUUUAAAUGUUGUAAUGUUUAAAAAGUCUGGCCGGACAGGUUUCUUUUUUGAAAGAACGCGCUUAGAAAUAGAGACAUAUUUUAGUUUGGUGACUACGUGUUGCAUUUAAAGCCACAUAGACAACGCUACAUUUCGUUGGAGUUUGGCGUUUCUGCACACUCUGUGGUGGACUGGUAUUCUUUCUGCCAUAAAGUGUAUUUCCAUCACAUUUUAACGACGUUGAAAAAAAUUGGCGGUCCUCUGACAUUCGUUGAAAUUGAUGUGGCCAAAUUUGGAAGGAGAUAAUACAAUCGCGGCAGAAGAAUUCAGGGACAGAGGAUUUUUGGGGGAAUCAUAAUGUAGAACAUAGAUUCCUUCCUUGUUCCUGUUCAACAACCUGACAGGGACACCCUCCUUAACGUAAUUAAUGAAUAUGUUCUGCCAGGAAAAGACAAUUGUUAACGACUGUUGGAAGGCCUCCAACUGUCUCGGUGACGAGGGAUUCAGGCACUUCUCCGUUUUUUGUUGCUGCCGCUCAGCUCUAUCUGCCAACACACUAAUGCAAAGGUCCAACCUACACUAAUCUACAUGGAAGUCCUGGAUACAGACCAUGACCCUGACGAAAUUGAGACUUUGACGACAUUGUGACUCUGACGACAUCUACAGCCUCCUCCCCCCAACUGAUGAACCGAUGCUGGGGACGUCAGAAGGUUUGAGCGUGAACGGAGCUUAGGUCCAAAGUCUCGCUUGCACAGCUGGAAAUAUGUGAAAAAGAAUAUCAGCUGGAGAUCCCUGCAGUGGUGAGGAGGAGGGUACCGAAACAUCUACAUGGCCUUGGCGAAGGUCGAGGUUGUGGUGGAGGUCAUGUUCGUCAGAGAGCCCAUGACCAUGGUCAACCCAUUGGAGGUUGAUAAUAAAGUUUCAGGAAAUAUGUUUCACUCAUAAUUUGGACAUAAAUUGUUAAUUCAGAGGUACGAGGACCUUUUAUGGAGACUUUGUAUGGUUAGAAAGCACUUCUCUGUGACGGAACGUUAAGGGAGCGGGGCAGCCAGCUUUUAUGGACUAACGCAGUUCACAGUCUUCAGUGAAUGAUCUUUACUCUUUUGAGUGUAGAAGACAAGAGAGCUACCUAAACCACUUGCUGGAAACAUUAAGAAGCCGGAAAAUCUCAAUCAUCAAUCUAAAGCUAAAUGUGUGUAGAAGCUUUUAGUAACAAGGAACCCAAAUUAAUUUUUGCUUCAAGAACAGACAGAUGAUAGGACCAGCUGUAACUAAGGCAAUCUAUUGUUACAAAUGGUUUGUAAAAAUUGUUUCUCAUAAAUAACUCAAACUGUAGUGUAACCCUGUAUAUAAUCGAAAAAGUAAAAAUAAAGCAUGGUAAAAAAUUUAAAA